GAAUGAAAUGGCGUGACAAAUACAUGCAAGUCGUAACGAGGUGAGCCAGUAACUUGCUCUUAAGAAGUUAGCGGCGGACGGGUGAGUAACACGUGGGUAACCUGCCUGUAAGACUGGGAUAACUCCGGGAAACCGGGGCUAAUACCGGAUAACAUUUUGCACCGCAUGGUGCGAAAUUGAAAGGCGGCUUCGGCUGUCACUUAUAGAUGGACCUGCGGCGCAUUAGCUAGUUGGUGAGGUAACGGCUCACCAAGGCGACGAUGCGUAGCCGACCUGAGAGGGUGAUCGGCCACACUGGGACUGAGACACGGCCCAGACUCCUACGGGAGGCAGCAGUAGGGAAUCUUCCGCAA
rnacentral:rRNA from 1 species